CGAGUCCUGUAAACACCGGUCCCCUGUACACAGCCGGUCCUGACACAGCCGGUCCCUGUACACAGCCGGUCCUGACACAGACGGUCCUGACACAGCCGGUUCCUGACCCAACGGUCCUGACACAGACGGUCCUGACACAGACGGUCCUGACAACAGACGGUCCUGACACAGACGGUCCUGACACAGACGGUCCUGACACAGCCGGUCCUGACACAGCCGGUCCUGAACAGCCGGUCCUGACACAGCCGGUCCUGACACAGCCGGUCCUGUACAGCCGGUCCUGACACAGCCGGUCCUGACACAGCCGGUCCGGACACAAGCCAGUCCGACACAGCCGGUCCCUGACACAGCCGGUCUGUACAGCCGGUCCGGACACAGCCGGUCCUGACAACAGCCGGUCCUGACACACAGCCGGUCAAGUAUAGAUACAUGCUGCUUGAAAGACCAAGAUGCGUCUACCUCUCUUUUCAAACCAUGGUGUAUGAAAAGUGGAGCAAACUGAAGAGACAUGUCUUCAAAUUAAGGGCUACAGCAUAAUUUAGGACAACCAGAUCCACUUCCUUAUCAUAACAGCAGAACCUGUAUGACAUAUAAUAUGAUAAUAUUGGAUCAGUUUGAGUUGAUCAUCAUGACAUCCUAAGACCAGGUUCUGUAUACAUACUGGCUUCCUCAGGCCAGGCAGGAAGGAGGACUCGACCACGCGGUCGUGAGAGGUUGGGCCAUGCGGUAAUCAUUCCCACAGGGUCCUAUUGUCCAUGUCCAUCAGAAUCUUUCCAACUUCCUGAUCUGGGCGAGGGGAGAGGAGAGAGCAAGGAGUGAGGGAGGAGGAGCGCAGAGUAGUGGAGGAGGAGAGGAGAGCAGCGGAGUAGCUAUCUAGUAGGCAUAUGAUUUGUUUCUGCUAUUGCUCCGAGGAGUUUUUAG
rnacentral:lncRNA from 1 species